GGCAGCACGGGGGCAACCCUGGUGGCGAGUGGCGAACGGGUGAGUAAUACAUCGGAACGUGUCCUGUAGUGGGGGAUAGCCCGGCGAAAGCCGGAUUAAUACCGCAUACGAUCUACGGAAGAAAGCGGGGGAUCGCAAGACCUCGCGCUAUAGGGGCGGCCGAUGGCAGAUUAGCUAGUUGGUGGGGUAAAGGCCUACCAAGGCGACGAUCUGUAGCUGGUCUGAGAGGACGACCAGCCACACUGGGACUGAGACACGGCCCAGACUCCUACGGGAGGCAGCAGUGGGGAAUUUUGGACAAUGGGGGAAACCCUGAUCCAGCAAUGCCGCGUGUGUGAAGAAGGCCUUCGGGUUGUAAAGCACUUUUGUCCGGAAAGAAAACUUCUGCCCUAAUACGGUGGGAGGAUGACGGUACCGGAAGAAUAAGCACCGGCUAACUACGUGCCAGCAGCCGCGGUAAUACGUAGGGUGCGAGCGUUAAUCGGAAUUACUGGGCGUAAAGCGUGCGCAGGCGGUUCGUUAAGACAGAUGUGAAAUCCCCGGGCUUAACCUGGGAACUGCAUUUGUGACUGGCGAGCUAGAGUAUGGCAGAGGGGGGUAGAAUUCCACGUGUAGCAGUGAAAUGCGUAGAGAUGUGGAGGAAUACCGAUGGCGAAGGCAGCCCCCUGGGCCAAUACUGACGCUCAUGCACGAAAGCGUGGGGAGCAAACAGGAUUAGAU
rnacentral:rRNA from 1 species